CCUACAGGGGGCAGCAGUGGGGAAUAUUGCACAAUGGGCGAAAGCCUGAUGCAGCGACGCCGCGUGAGCGAAGAAGGCCUUCGGGUCGUAAAGCUCUGUCCUAUGGGAAGAAAGAUGACGGUACCAUAGGAGCAAGCACCGGCUAACUACGUGCCAGCAGCCGCGGUAAUACGUAGGGGGCGAGCGAUGUCCGGAAUGACUGGGCGUAAAGGGUACGUAGGCGGCUAGAUAAGUCAGAUGUGAAAGGCAUAGGCUUAACCUGUGUACGAAUUUGAAACUGCAUAACUUGAGGGCAGGAGAGGCGGGUGGAAUUCCUAUUGUAGCGGUGAAAUGCGUAGAUAUUAGGAAGAACUCCAGUGGCGAGGGCGACUCUCUGGACUGUAACUGACGCUGAGGCACGAAGGCGCGGUGAGCGAACAGGAUUAGAUACCCUAGUGGUG
rnacentral:rRNA from 1 species